GGCCUCCGUAGCCGGCCACCCGGCUCUGCCGUGGGCACCUGGGCCCUGCGGUGCUCCCUGCGUCCCUCCGGCCCCUCUGGGCCCUGCUGCUUCUCCGACCAGGUGAUUCCGCCCACUUGCCAGCACUUCCUUGGCCCCCUUUUUCCUGCCAACCCUCCCUGAGCCUCUUCUCAGCCGGAAUGACAAAGGCCACCCACAAGCCCAGCAAACACGAGGUGCUUCUGGUGCUCAGAAGCCACAGCAGCAUCACUCUGCACCGUCGCCGAGCAGAGGACAGAUCAAGCCGUGCUGGCUGGCUCCUGGGGGAGGCGCAGUGAGACAUCACAGAGCCCUUGGCUGGACCCCUGACAGACCCUCAACACUCGCCCGGGGGGGCGGUAGCCCCCAGUGCAGGGGGGCGGGCUCCAUCUGCUGCUGGACUGGGGGUGAUGAGGGCCCCGGGGUGAGGGGGCCGCUGAAGGUGACGAUGCUGCAGACCCAGCUUCCAGAGAGACCUCGCCUCCUUCCACUGCGUGCUGGCUUGUCUGUGAUUCAUCCUUUGAUGCUGAGAGUAAAGCCGGGGUCUGUUGUAACACGCUCGUGUUCAGCUCCACGGAGGGGAAUUUGAGCAGAAGGGGAGGGAAUAAUAAAACGCUUGCUUUUUUGUUCUGGAUCCCGCUGAAACGAUCCUUGCCGCGGCCUGGGUGUAGGCGAGGCAGGCUCUCCGCGCUCCUGCAUUUAGAAAAGGCAGCGGAGCCUUGCGUCGGAGGCCGUCGCGAAAACACAGAAGCCUAAUAAGGUGGAGGGUGGGCAAGCAGCCCCUCCGUGGGUGCGGGGACGGGACGGAGCAUCCAGGUGUCGGGUUCCAGCCCCCUCGGGGUGCCUGGCCCAGAGGAGCCACGCUCGCUCGCCCUCACCUCGGAGGUUCAGACAUGCACGACGGUCCCGCCUGCCAAGGGAAACACUGACGUCACCCCAGGAACAAAAGGAUUCCAUGUCAGUGUUUUUCGUGGGACUAAUGCUCCCAGAAGCAAAGAAACAGCCUCCCAGUGACUUAGCCGAAGCAGAACGUAGGCGACCUGGCGCGGGAGCCACCCUGCUGCAUUUAACAGGCCUUAGAGCCUGGCCUGGAGGGUCCCGGGCCCAGGGCAGGAGCCCGGCAGGUGCUGCGAGACCCCCUUACCAGCCCAUCCCUUGGGCUGCAGGUGAGGGGCCGGGGCAGGCUGGAAAGGGGGUGACCAGCUCCCCCACCCCACCCCCGGGGACAGCACAGUUCCUUGGCCCCGCCUGUCGGGACACCGGGCAGCAGGUAGGAAACAGGUCUCCGGGGGCGGGCGCACAUCACUGGUUAACGGGGCCUCUUCUGCUCUCAGGUGGGAACCCUGAGGUGCCAAGGUCAAGGUGGGCCCGCAGCUGCUCCCUCCCCACCCCUCCCUUUGGUUUUACCUUCCUGAACACUAUUUCAUUUUUUUUUUUUUGCAUUUUUUCAAUUUAA
rnacentral:lncRNA from 1 species